rnacentral:rRNA from 1 species
UCCCGCGCCUGCAAGCGUUAUUCGGAUUCACUGGGCGUAAAGGGUGCGCAGGCGGCCGUGUGGGUAAGGUGUGAAAUCCCGAGGCUCAACCUCGGAACUGCGCCUUAAACUACAUGGCUAGAGUAUUGGAGAGGGUAACGGAAUUCACGGUGUAGCAGUGAAAUGCGUAGAUAUCGUGAGGAACACCAGAGGCGAAGGCGGUUACCUGGACAAUUACUGACGCUCAGGCACGAAAGCAUGGGGAGCAAAAGGG